UACGAAGGGGGCAAGCGUUGUUCGGAAUUACUGGGCGUAAAGGGCGCGUAGGCGGCCCACUAAGUCAGACGUGAAAUCCCCCGGCUUAACCUGGGAACUGCGUCUGAUACUGGAGGGCUUGAGUAUGGGAGAGGGAUGUAGAAUUCCAGGUGUAGCGGUGAAAUGCGUAGAUAUCUGGAGGAACACCGGUGGCGAAGGCGGCAUCCUGGACCAACACUGACGCUGAUGAGCGAAAGCGUGGGGAGCAAACAGG
rnacentral:rRNA from 1 species